rnacentral:rRNA from 1 species
UACGGAGGGGCUAGCGUUGUUCGGAAUUACUGGGCGUAAAGCGCACGUAGGCGGCUUUGUAAGUUAGGGGUGAAAGCCCGGAGCUCAACUCCGGAACUGCCUUUAAGACUGCAUCGCUUGAAUCCGGGAGAGGUGAGUGGAAUUCCGAGUGUAGAGGUGAAAUUCGUAGAUAUUCGGAAGAACACCAGUGGCGAAGGCGGCUCACUGGACCGGUAUUGACGCUGAGGUGCGAAAGCGUGGGGAGCAAACAGGG